rnacentral:rRNA from 1 species
UACGUAGGGUGCGAGCGUUGUCCGGAAUUAUUGGGCGUAAAGAGCUCGUAGGCGGUUCGAUAAGUCGGACGUGAAAUCUCCACGCUCAACGUGGAGGGGCCGUUCGAUACUGUCGUGACUCGAGUCCGGUAGGGGAGUGUGGAAUUCCGCGUGUAGCAGUGAAAUGCGUAGAGAUGCGGAGGAACACCGAUGGCGAAGGCAGCCCCCUGGGUCGACACUGACGCUCAGGCACGAAAGCGUGGGGAGCAAACAGG